rnacentral:misc_RNA from 1 species
AACGCACCUUGCGCCCUCUGGUAUUCCGGAGAGUAUGCCCGGUUGAGUAUUAUGAUCAUCUCAAACCUUUCGUUUCUGAUUGCAAAGGUCUUGCGUUUGGCGAAGUCGUCUAUCGAGACGGUGGUAGCUGAACUUGGACUUGGAAGCGUAUUGGUCUUGGACUUGAGCGUCUCGUCGGUCCGCUUGGAUCGACCCGCUUGAAAUGUAUUAGCUGGCGACCCGCCUUACGGUUCCACUCGGCGUAGUAAGUCUUAUUCGUCGAGGACGCCUCUUACGAGGUGGCCUAUGGGUUUGGUGUGAUGCCGCUUCCAGUCGUCUUUGGACAGUCUUGAACCUUUAAUCUCAACUCGGGUAGGACUACCCGCUGAACUUAA